rnacentral:rRNA from 1 species
GAGGAGAUCCAGCCACACUGGAACUGAGACACGGUCCAGACUCCUACGGGAGGCAGCAGUGGGGAAUAUUGCACAAUGGGCGCAAGCCUGAUGCAGCCAUGCCGCGUGUAUGAAGAAGGCCUUCGGGUUGUAAAGUACUUUCAGCGGGGAGGAAGGGAGUAAAGUUAAUACC